rnacentral:rRNA from 1 species
GUCGAGAAUAAUUCACAAUGGACGAAAGUCUGAUGGUGCAACGCCGCGUGGAGGAUGACGGUCUUCGGAUUGUAAACUCCUGUCAUCCGGGAGUAAGACCUGGCUGUGAAUAGCAGACAGGGUUGAUAGUAUCGGAAGAGGAAGGGACGGCUAACUUCGUGCCAGCAGCCGCGGUAAUACGAAGGUCCCAAGCGUUGUUCGGAAUCACUGGGCGUAAAGGGAGCGUAGGCUGCGCGGUAAGUCAGGUGUGAAAUCCCGGGGCUCAACCCCGGAACUGCACCCGAUACUGCCGUGCUAGAGGGUUGGAGAGGUGACUGGAAUUCUCGGUGUAGCAGUGAAAUGCGUGGAUAUCGAGAGGAACACUCGUGGCGAAGGCGAGUCACUGGACAACAUCUGACGCUGAGGCUCGAAGGCCAGGGGAGCAAAAGGGAUUAGAAACCCGGGUAGUCC